AUGCACGCUUGGGGCGGGCCCCAUCCAUGCCGGUCGAGCGCACGGACGAGAAGCUUGCUUCUCUGAUGUUAGCGGCGGACGGGUGAGUAACACGUGGAUAACCUACCUAUAAGACUGGGAUAACUUCGGGAAACCGGAGCUAAUACCGGAUGAUAUUUUGAACCGCAUGGUUCAAAAGUGAAAGACGGUCUUGCUGUCACUUAUAGAUGGAUCCGCGCUGCAUUAGCUAGUUGGUAAGGUAACGGCUUACCAAGGCAACGAUGCAUAGCCGACCUGAGAGGUUGAUCGGCCACACUGGAACUGAGACACGGUCCAGACUCCUACGGGAGGCAGCAGUAGGGAAUCUUCCGCAAUGGGCGAAAGCCUGACGGAGCAACGCCGCGUGAGUGAUGAAGGUCUUCGGAUCGUAAAACUCUGUUAUUAGGGAAGAACAUAUGUGUAAGUAACUGUGCACAUCUUGACGGUACCUAAUCAGAAAGCCCCGGCUAACUACGUG
rnacentral:rRNA from 1 species